CGGCAGAACAGAUUUGGCUUGAGUAGC
rnacentral:sRNA from 1 species